rnacentral:rRNA from 1 species
UACGUAGGGGGCAAGCGUUGUCCGGAAUCAUUGGGCGUAAAGCGCGUGUAGGCGGUCCGGUAAGUCCGCUGUAAAAGUCGGGGGCUCAACCCUCAGAUGCCGGUGGAUACUGUCGGGCUUGAGUACGGAAGAGGCGAGUGGAAUUCCUGGUGUAGCGGUGAAAUGCGCAGAUAUCAGGAGGAACACCAAUUGCGAAGGCAGCUCGCUGGGACGUUACUGACGCUGAGACGCGAAAGCGUGGGGAGCAAACAGG